AACGAACGCUGGCGGCAUGCCUAACACAUGCAAGUCGAACGAGACCUUCGGGUCUAGUGGCGCACGGGUGCGUAACGCGUGGGAACCUGCCCUUAGGUUCGGAAUAACUCCCCGAAAGGGGUGCUAAUACCGGAUAUUGUCUUCGGACCAAAGAUUUAUCGCCUUUGGAUGGGCCCGCGUUGGAUUAGCUAGUUGGUAGGGUAAAAGCCUACCAAGGCGACGAUCCAUAGCUGGUCUGAGAGGAUGAUCAGCCACACUGGGACUGAGACACGGCCCAGACUCCUACGGGAGGCAGCAGUGGGGAAUAUUGGACAAUGGGCGAAAGCCUGAUCCAGCAAUGCCGCGUGAGUGAUGAAGGCCUUAGGGUUGUAAAGCUCUUUUAACCGGGAUGAUAAUGACAGUACCGGGAGAAUAAGCUCCGGCUAACUCCGUG
rnacentral:rRNA from 1 species